rnacentral:rRNA from 1 species
ACUAAUUAAACGGCCGCGGUAUCCUAACCGUGCAAAGGUAGCAUAAUCACUUGUCUCUUAAUUAGAGACUAGUAUGAACGGCUAAAUGAGGGCCUAACUGUCUCCCGUGAGUAAUCAAUGAAACUGAUCUUCCAAUACAAAAGCUGGAAUACACCCAUAAGACGAGAAGACCCUAUGGAGCUUUUAAACCUACUUGCUAAACAAAAACUAAUAGUCAUCUUGACUACUUAAACCACACAUAAUAGCAACAAGCUUCAGUUGGGGCAACUUUGGAAAAAAAAAGAACUUCCAAGCAACAGAACUACAAGUUCAACUUAGACCAACACGUCUACGUAAUAAUUUACUGACCCAGUCAUACUGAUCAACGAACUAAGUUACCCUAGGGAUAACAGCGCAAUCCUCUUUAAGAGUCCCUAUCGCCAAGAGGGUUUACGACCUCGAUGUUGGAUCAGGACACCCAAGUGGUGCAGCCGCUACUAAAGGUUCGUUUGUUCAACGAUU